AAACACAAGCCAUAUACCCAUUAAAUAAGGGAAUCAGAUGGCAGGCCAUAGUAAGAGAUCAUCAGUUUCAUCGAAUGACACAACGAUCAACAGUAAUAAGUUUAAGUGUGAGGAAGAGUGAAAUUCUCCUGCGUUUGUUUCAGUAGGCCUUUUGUCAUAGAGGCAUCACACAUGAACAAAUUUUCAAAAGAACUAGCUUAAAUAACCUUGCAUAAUGGUUGGAGAUGACGGUCUUAGGGAAACAACCUAAACAUAACUGACUCAAGAACAAAUAAUUGAAAACAUUUAGAGUUACUAUUAGAUAACUUCAUUGCAUGGAUAACCACAUACCUUUCCACUCUUGUAUUGUGACAU
rnacentral:misc_RNA from 1 species